rnacentral:rRNA from 1 species
UGGGGAAUUUUGCACAAUGGGGGAAACCCUGAUGCAGCGACGCCGCGUGAUUUAGAAGGCCUUCGGGUUGUAAAAAUCUUUUCUAUGGGAAGAAAAUGACAGUACCAUAGGAAUAAGGACCGGCUAAUUACGUGCCAGCAGCCGCGGUAAUACGUAAGGUCCGAGCGUUGUCCGGAAUCAUUGGGCGUAAAGGGUACGUAGGCGGGUAAGCAAGUUAGAAGUGAAAUCCUGUAGCUCAACUAAAGUAAGCUUUUAAAACUGCUCAUCUUGAGAUAUGGAAGGGAAAGUGGAAUUCCUAGUGUAGCGGUGAAAUGCGCAGAUAUGAGGAGGAAUACCGGUGGCGAAGGCGACUUUCUGGCCAUAAUCUGACGCUGAGGUACGAAAGCGUGGGUAGCAAACAGG